AGGCCACGAGGAGGCGCUGUCUCGCUUUACUCUGAAGAAGCUGCUCCUGCUCGUGUGUUUCCUGGACAAAGCCAAAGAGUCCCGGCUGAUUGAGCACAACCCCUGUCUGUUCUGCUUGGACGCAGAGUUCAAGAUGAGUAAAGACCUGCUCCUGGCCUUCUCCAGGGACUUCCUGAGCGGAGAGGGGAUCCUCCCCCGCCACCUCGGCCACCUGGGGUUACCCGUCGUUACUUAGCAAGUGCUCAAAAACAAAGGGGUCGACCUCAAAGAUGAUCGCGGCUCCAACAUUGAUUCCAGAGACAUUGUGGAUGCACACAGAGAGAAGACACUGAGCCUCUUGUGGAAAAUCAUCUUCACGUUUCACGUGGAGGUGGUUUUGGAUGAGAAUCAGCUGAGGGAGGAAAUUGGCUUCUUGAAGAGAUCCUGGAGGACCAAACGGAGGCUGGCGUCUCUGAGGGCCGACCGGGGGCUUCAGCUGAGUCCUGCAAAGACCAGGCUGCCGUAUGAACACAGCAGCACUAAGAUCACCCUGCUGAUGGACUGGGUCCGCGCUGUGUGUGACUUCUACAGUCUAAAGGUGGAGAACUUCACCGUGACGUUCUCGGAUGGCCGCGUCCUCUGCUACCUUAUCCACCACUACCACCCCAGUCUCCUGCCAGAGAGGGCUGUCAGUCACAGCACCACUCAGAAUCAAGCUGCCGUUGUC